rnacentral:rRNA from 1 species
GAUGAACGCUGGCGGCGUGCUUAACACAUGCAAGUCGAACGGAAAGGCCCUCUUCUUGUGGGGUGCUCGUGUCGCACGCGUGUGUGAAACAUGUGAGUAUUCCCCCUUUGAUUUUGUGAUCCCUCCAGGACAGUGGGGCUAACACCGGAUAGCAGCUCCUGCGCCAUGGUGGCGGUUGGAAAGUUCCGGCGGUUGGGGAUGGACUCGCGGCUUAUCAGCUUGUUGGUGGGGUAGUGGCUUACCAAGGCAUUGACGGGUAGCCGGCAUGAGAGGUGGACCGGCGACAUUGGGACUGAGAUACGGCCCAGACUGCUACGGGGGGCAGCAGUGGGGAAUCUUGCACAAUGGGCGGAAGCCUGAGGCAGCGACGCCGCGUGCGGGAUGAGGGCCUUCGGGUGGUAAACCGCUUUCGGCUGUGACGAAGCGGGAGUGACGGUACCGGAAGAAGAAGCACCGGCUAACUACGUG